CAUGGUCUUAUCCAUGAUUAGCACACUGAAAGUCUUGUCUAAUGUUUUUGAAUGCUGUUUUACCUUAUUUAGCACAUUGCACUUCAGAAAACCUAGGCGGGUUUUUGUCACAUGAAUCCCAAGGUAAAGAGAUAUGCAUGUAAAAGCCUGAAACCUAUAUGAAUGAAUCUAUCCAUCGACUCUGUUCUCCUAUAUCCAAAUCGAGGAAUCCUGAUCUAGAAGCAUUCUGUUAACCUCAUAGUGCAAUUCAAAAUAAUAUCUUUAAGCAUCUCAAGCUCAAAUUCAAAGGAGCCCAUAAAUGCUUUUGGAGGAAAACAUAAAACAAGUUUUGCUCAUACAAGCAUUAGUGAACUUAUAAGCAACCUACUUGAGUCGUUAAUGACAAGAUUUUCAGUUUAGCACUCAUGUUCGCUACAACAACAACAACAACAACAUACCUAGUAAAUUCCCACAAUGUGGGGUCUGGGGAGGGUAGAGUGUACGCAGACCUUACCCUCACCUUUCAAGGUGAGGAGGCUGUUUUCCGAAAGACCCUCGGCUCAAAAGAGAACAAGACAAAAGGUCAGAUAACAUGCUCAAAAGAGAACAUGAGUUUAGCACUCAUGUUUGCUGUUAUCAAAAAAUUGGUUUCUCGUUACACAUGCUUAAUUUGUUUUCUUCACUUUGCUAAGUAGCCUGUAGAUUGAUCUGCGCUUGCUAACUCAAGUUUCAUUUUCUCAGUCAUAACAUAGAUGUGAACUACAAAGUUGCUGGGAAUGGAAGUCUAUAGCCUACAAAACCAAUACAAAUUCUUCUAAACUGAAAGACACCUAGUAGAUUUACUGAGAACCCUAGCAAAGAUAUUAGCCUAACAAUAAUGUGUCUGUCUUAUAGGCCAAUUUGUCUCUAACUUGUCAAGCGCCCCAAAAUCUAAACCAAACUGCCCAACUGCCAUUGGACUACAAUACCAUAUUGAAGGAACCAUUGGACUGGGGAAGGAUCUUUGUAUAUUGUUAGAAGAUAGUUUCUUCCUCCGUUUUAAGGGGUGUCCAAAAUGUUUUUACUUUUUUGAAACUCUCUUCCAAAAUAUUUAUACGUACACAGUUGUUUACCAAUUUCAAGAAUUUAAGUUCAUAUAUCUGUCUCAAUUUUAAGUUGGAAAGAUGAAGUAUAAUUGAUGUCCCAAUAGGUUUCAACACAUGCACACACAGUGUUUCCCGAAUUUCAAGAAUAUACAUUAAUUCAUCCAUUUACUAUAUUUCGCACCAUCCUUACAGUAACCCUCCCCCCUCCGCGUGCGCACAC